UCUAGAACUAUAUUAAAAAUAGAUAUGGGUCAGAUUCUUUUAUUUUCUUUCUUAGUUACCUCAUUUCUUUCUGUUACCUUUCAACUUCGUCGCAAUGCAAGGUAUACUACUUGUGGUCUGCUCAAGACUUAAUCACGUAGGGGUUUCAGAAUACGCUUCUGAUGUCAUCUGAUUAAAACAGACUUCAGAAUUAAAAUUUCAAGGCUUUAUGGAAGGGCAGAGAGAGGAAGGUCAGGGAGAAGGGGAGGCAUACACUGAAGGAAUGUCCUGAAGAUGCUGCUGUCUUCUGCUGCUGCGAUUCUAACUAUGACUGAGAGGUUGCCCUCACACAGUCAGACAACAAGCUUCUCAUUACAAAGACUUUGACUCUCCUAUAGUGUGCCUGUGGAAUGAAUUUCUCAGCACAGCAAGGCAAAAAAGGACACUUCGAAGUUCAUUUUGAAUUCUAGAGGUAUCCCAUACUGCAUGCGAAUGGAAAUCUCGGAACACAAAGGAACUGUCUUGUAGUCCCCAAAAUGCACAACUCAGAGAUACUAGUUUAUUGUCAAAGUGAUUUGCAAAUAAAUCUUAUUUUUAACCUCUUUCUGA